GCAUUUCCAUCUCGCAUUUCACUGCUGUUUCGUGAAGUGUAAAGAAAAUCAUCCCGAAGCAGAGGCAAUCGAAAAGAACACUUUCGACGUGUGUUGGAGGUUAGAAAGCAGCUCGCGAAAAAAAUACAUUGGUGUUGGUAGCAGAAAGCUUUUUCUCACUGCGUGGAACCGGCAGCGAUAUCGCUAUCAAGCAGUCGAUUAUUUUCAGAUCAUGUUUUCAGAUCAGAUUUCAGAUUUUCAGGAACACCUAAAAAGUAGUCAACAUCAGGGCCGCUAGUGUGUGCACGCCAAAAGGAAGAAGAAAAGCACUGGUUUUGACAACUGGAAGAUGAGGAGGGGACACUAGUGGACAAAGGAAGGUACUAGUCACCUGCACUGUUCCCUUGCUACAAGUUAAAAUAAUGUGCAUCAUUGAACUAUAACACACGCUAUCGCACACUUUGGAAAUACCUAAAGUGAAUAAAGCCAAUCUCUACUUGA